CUCCAUUGAAGCUGUGCCAAUUUAUACCACCUCUAAAGAGUUCAUUAAACAUCUGUCUCACCAGCACAGUGAUCCAGGAUUUGAACAUUUGUUAAUCUGAAAAAUUAAUUUUUCUCCUAAUCCAGCUUGGUACCUUUCUUAAGACUGGGUGUGAAAUGUUGGUGGUUCCUGCACUUUUUCCCUGCAUUAAACACCCACUGUAUUCCCUGCAGAGUCUGGGAAAUUACAAGUGUCUGUUCAGCUGGGAUGGGGAAGGACCUGAGACCCAAACUGGAGCUUUUUAGCUCAGCCUUGCGUUGGGUUCAGGGCUCUGCUGCCCCUCAGAGCAAAGGGCUUUUUAUUGCUGCAACGUUGGGUUGUUUGUGCUAAACUCAGUCCAGUCAGAUGAAUAAUUUGCACUGAGUUUUGAUUGAUUUGGUGUCUUUUUCAGUUUGCCAGGGAGCAAGGAACCAAUUGCAAUUCCUCAUUAAAAAUCACUUCUGCUUAAUUCCUGCAACUCCAGUUGUGGACACUGAACCUCAACCCUAAGCCUUGCUGUGAAGAAGAAAUCUCUGACAUCUGUAAGAAUUCCCCAACUGCACGUGACACUGAACUUACCAGGUCUCCAUCAGCUGUGUCAGGGAAACAGCUCCAUCUUCCGGGAGGCAGCGGCCGGGGAGGGAGCGCUUCCCGCGGCUCCUUCGCCUCUUCGCGGGCUUUGUCAGCGGCGCUGCCCGUGCAGGAUCGCUGGGCUCAGCACUCGGUGUCUCGGGGCUGCUUGGCAGUGGCAGAACUGUGAAAACAAAGUAAACAGAGACUUAGCAGCCAAUCCGCGGCAAUGAAAGCAUCCCACAAAACCAGAGGCACGGCGAAGACACUCCCGAGUACCCCAAAUCCACAAUGACACGGGUGCAGAACACAAACGCCCUUUAGGAUGAUCCCUGCCACGAGCAAGUUCCGCAGCUCCCAACACAGAAAUUAGCGACACCACAUAUACAGUCAGCGCCGAGAUAGCCCAGCAAAUGCCUGACAGGAUUCUUCUCCAGCAGGUAAAGAUUGGAUGCUAGCAACUUGUUCUACAAAAUGGGGAAAACUCUCAGAGUUUGGGAUACUGCAUUUAGCAGCGUACAAAUGGCAGUUUGGGAUGGAAGCUUUGCGUUUCUUUCCAACUGAAAACGUCACAAUGUGAGUUCUCUCAUAACAAGUACCAUGAUCCACAAGGGCUGGGAAUGAGCUCCCUGAGAGAUGCUCAGGAAGCUCCUUAGGCAGGAAUCAGAGAUUUAAAUUGUGCUGUUUCAUUGGCUGUGAUUCUGCUUUAAGCAUGUGAAGUCUGACUGAAGCCAAAUAACCAAAUACCUGCAUCACCUCCCCAGGAACAUUAAUGCCAACUGUUGAGAAGUUUCUGUUAAUUAUACACAAAAUCAUUAUUUUGGUCUUAGACUUUCAGUCACUUUUCUGCAGCUUUUGACAGCC
rnacentral:lncRNA from 1 species